AGAAAAGUAAUUUUUUUUUCUCAAGCAAUUCAAGUUUAUUUGUAGAUUUUAGUAAUAAUAUUGGUAAAUUAAGAAAUUAUAAGCACAAUUUGCUCAAAUGAAAGCAUUUUGAAUAAGCUUCUCAACGAUUUUUUUAGAAUUAAUUAUAUAUUUUUUCAUGUUUCAUUGGUGAUGAUUCUAUUAUCUAAUUUGAAUUUAUAAAUAUCCAAAGGAAGUUUUAAAGCGUAAUUAUAAUUAACCCUUUCUAAAAGAAAAGAAUUUAUAACAGUACAUUAUAGAGUAACAAUUCAAACUCAACUAUUUUUCUUUUUAAUUGGAGCAUAAAGCUGAGACAAUACUUCGUACCAGGUUAACAUAUGACUUUUUGGUUUUAAAGGUGAAUGUACAUACUAAACAUAGAAAUUCACCACUAAAACUUUGUCAUUACCUCCCAGACUAUCUUGACAUUAUUCCUCCAUUUCAUAAUUGACAAAUUCCCACUACUGGUCACCUGGCCAACACCUUCCAUUUCUGGAACUUAACACUUAGUAAAUUAAGGACACAGAAACGUUGUUAUGACAAUUACUUUGUCUCUUAAGAUUCCUAUAAUCUAACUCUUAGAUCAGUUCCCACCCUGUUAGCUUGUUGGAUUUUAUAUUUGUUGGUCUUUUAUGUUUUUAAAGUCUGUAUUAGUUACUUUAUAAAAUGUCUCACAUCCUGGAAAUUUUUUGUUGUUUUGGUUUUUGUUGUUUUUUUCCCCACAAGUUCAUGUUAACAUUUUUAGCAAGAGCCCAACAUAGGUGAAGUAAUUUACUUAUUAAUUUUCUAUUGUACCAGAUAAGAAGGUAUAUACUAUCGGUUUAUUCCAUUUUUUGCUAAUGCUAACACCACUUUCACCACUUUGAUCACAUGGUGAAAGUGGUGUUAUGGACUGAGUUUUUGUAUAGUCCCUCCCAGAUUUGUAGGCUAAAAUCCUAACAUCCAGUGGGCUGUCACUAUGAGAUGGGGCCUUGGCAGGUGAUCAAAUCAUGAGGGUGGAGCUCUCAUGAAUGUAUUAGUGCCCUCGGAAGAGACCAUGGAGAACUUUCUUUCUCCUUUCCACCAGGGGAGGACACAGCAGGAAGACCCCCAUCUGUGAGCCAGAGUAUGCUCAAAUAAUAUGUAUGAGGCACAAAUAGGAAUCAAUUGACGUGAGGCUAUUACUUCUAUAUAUAAAAAAAAAAUGGUUUUGUUUUUUUUUCCUCAUUUGGAUUUAUCCUGUGAUGAGACAGAAGUCUUGACUAUAGUGACUCCAUGUUGUUUAAUAUCUCCAUUUUGUAAAACAGCCAUGUCAACUAGGAAGGUCAUGACUGGGACAAGUUGUUUUUCUUUUGCUUGUGAAAAUCCUCAAGAACACAGAACUAUCUAACUGGGCUCUGUUUCUGUAACUGGGAUGACUGGGCUAAUUGUGAUUGGCUAAGCUUCCCGCCACCUGACUGCAAUCUCCCGCUUCUGUAACCUGGCUUGCUUGCAUUAGCUAAACCCCCAAACAUUCCUUUUGUGGUUUUCAAGCUUAAAAGGAACGCCCUUACAAUUGUUUGGGGCUGAUCCGGAACAGACUUUAUGUUCCCGGUCAGUCGCCGAGGGUGUGCUUCAAUAAAGGCUUGAUUCGAUUACAUGUGA
rnacentral:lncRNA from 1 species